CUUUGAAAAAAAAAAUGGAACCGUGCUAACGUUAAUUGCAAUCCAACACUACAAUGUUCUCACGUAUUUUCUCAGUUUUCACAGUGCUCGCGGUGCUUGUGAUGCAAACUGAGCCAGAAGAAUAAAGGCAUCUGCUUGAAACGCCACGUCUACAUUCACCUUUCACAUAAGGACUGUGGAAGGUGGGCAACAUUGGAAAGGUUCUGGCGUUCCUCCGCUCUGACGAGAUGAGCAGCCUUGGUCAGCGGUAGAAGACUCCGAGGUCGCCGAGUGCUCUCUUCACUUACUUGGAAGUCUUCCAGGAGCUCCGCCAAUGUACUCUCAAUCCAAAGGCGUCUCUCCUUUGUAAGUUUCACUAGUGAUGAAAAAGUCAGUCAAAUAUGUUAUUGUCUAAAUUAAGGUGACUUUAUGCUUCCUUUUUACACCAGUAGAUUCUGGGUGCCAUAAAAAAUUACAUUAACCUCACCCUUUUUUUUAUUAGUAAUUACCUUUAACUAACUUUUUAGGUGCCCUGGCAGUCAAGGGACCUUGGAAUUGUCCAGAUUUUCCCCUUUAAAAGCACCCCGACCAAUAACGUUCAUAAAUACUCAAUAGAAGAAUGUAUCAUUAAUCCAUGUGGUUGGUAUUGGUAUCGCUAUUUCAGUCCUGGAUGAUGGGAAUAGGAAUCAGCAGCAUAAGACCCUGAUCUGAGCAUCCCUAUUUAUAUGUUAUGUUACCCACAUGUUUGUUUUUAUGUUUUCCUUUUCUUUUUUUUUCGCUGAACCUGGCCUCCAAAAGAGCUAGAAAGUGGGACCUGGCAGCUGAUCCUUCAUAGAACAACUAUAGGGACCACAGGCCAUGUAUUAUUUAUGUUUGGGCCUGUUUGUGAAGGUUUUUUGUUUGAAUUAAGGCAAUACAUGCAUGGCUAUAUUACCGCAGAUGAACUGUUGCUGCCUGUUGCCAUAACUUGAGAAUAAAACAACUGCA